GCACCUGGAUUUGAUUCUUCGGAUGAAGAUCCUUGUGACUGAGUGGCGGACGGGUGAGUAACGCGUGGGUAACCUGCCUCAUACAGGGGGAUAACAGUUAGAAAUGACUGCUAAUACCGCAUAAGACCACAAAGCCGCAUGGCUUAGUGGGAAAAACUCCGGUGGUAUGAGAUGGACCCGCGUCUGAUUAGGUAGUUGGUGGGGUAACGGCCUACCAAGCCGACGAUCAGUAGCCGACCUGAGAGGGUGACCGGCCACAUUGGGACUGAGACACGGCCCAAACUCCUACGGGAGGCAGCAGUGGGGAAUAUUGCACAAUGGGGGAAACCCUGAUGCAGCGACGCCGCGUGAGCGAAGAAGUAUUUCGGUAUGUAAAGCUCUAUCAGCAGGGAAGAAAAUGACGGUACCUGACUAAGAAGCACCGGCUAAAUACGUGCCAGCAGCCGCGGUAAUACGUAUGGUGCAAGCGUUAUCCGGAUUUACUGGGUGUAAAGGGAGCGUAGACGGCUGUGUAAGUCUGAAGUGAAAGCCCGGGGCUCAACCCCGGGACUGCUUUGGAAACUAUGCAGCUAGAGUGUCGGAGAGGUAAGUGGAAUUCCCAGUGUAGCGGUGAAAUGCGUAGAUAUUGGGAGGAACACCAGU
rnacentral:rRNA from 1 species